rnacentral:lncRNA from 1 species
GAGGAUAUUGUAAAAUGUCACCAUCAAUCGGUAUUCAUGUAAAUGAAAAUAUUGAGCUGGAGUACUUGUGUCGUAGUUGCUUCAAUCGUUCAGUCAGUCAUGAUCACAAGAUUUGGACCAUUGCUGAGUGUUUGUAGAGUUCCUCAUGCUUAAUCCAGACAAGAGUUCGACAAGAAAAAUUCUCUGGAAUGCUACGUUCUCAUGUGUAUAGUAUGUCGUUUGGUCCAAACCGUUUUCUUUGCUCAAAUUCAUUUUUGGGAUGAACCUGAAUUUACACUUUAAUUUUCAAAUAUUUCUCUUUUUUAUGUGUGUUGCUCAAUAUCAUUUUUAGUUUGGUAAAGCUUUGUAGUACAUGAUAAUCACUAUGUAAAAAGUCG